GACUUGGGCCAAAAUAGUCUGAAAUAAAUAUACGUUUUGUGUAUUUAUUAUUGUUAGAUAUUAUCCUUUGUGUUUCUUGUCUGUCAGCCUCCGAGGACAGGAAAGUCUUCUGUGUUUCUAACAGACACCAACUCUUCCCCCCAACCUACACAACUAUCACUUGCUGAGUCAGCACUAGAAAAGUUUCUCUUUUAUCUGAAUAUCUGAUAGAUAUUUUGAAAUUUAAAAUUUGUCAAAAACACAGAUCUAAUAGAAGCCUCAAAUCUACUACCACACAAAAUGUAGAAUCAAAAACUAACCUGAAUCCUGAGAUCCACUUCUGUAACUCAGCCUCCAUGCUACCCAAUUAACUGAAGUUCUACAAUAUGGUCCAAAGACUAUUUAAGAUUAACAUAAAUUAUGUGCAUUGCUUUGUUACUAAGGGUCAUAUCCUCCUCUCACACCCAUGUAAAUCAGGAUCAACUUUACUGAAGUUAGGGUGUUACAAAGGUGUAAAUCUGAUGUAAGAAGAGAAUCAGGCCCAUGGGUUUUACCACAGAACUCAAUAGUUUUAAUCUAAAAGAAAAAAAAAUCACGAGGUCUGAUUUGCCUCUCAUACCAGGUUUACGCUUGUGUGACUUCACUGACUACAGAGAUCCUGAUCUACACCAGAGUAUAUAACAUGUGUUUUCAAAGAUGGAGAAAGGGGAAUAAUAUAAUCCAAAUGUCAGUUGAGAGCUAUACUGGUUUGCUUUGUGUAUGCUAUAUUGUUUACAGUGCAUUAUUAUGUAUGUACAGUAUGUGGACUGUUUUUCGUUUUUGACAAUAUAACAAGGUUUAUACACAUUUACAAUAAAAUGGUGUUGAAAGAAAGCAUUCAGAGCAAGAGUAACUUCUCAGGAUGAAACUAAAACCUAUAUUUUCUUCCCACUUGUGGACUACAUGCAACUCUUGUCCGGUGGGUCUAGUUUUUCAAACUGAUCUCCCAUAUUGUGCCCACUGAUUAUAAACACCAAUGACGACAAUUAGACUUUUUUCCUACCUUAUUAGCAGGGACAGCCAAUUAAUAGAAUUUACACUAUCAACUAAUCACAACAAAUUGCAAGCAAAAAUGGGAGGUGAAUUUAAAAAGCAAAGAAAUGAAACAUAAGUUUCUAAAGAUAAAUGGACACUAACCACUUUGUCACCAGCACCAUUUAAUAUAUUUCCCUGUGCAAUGAUUCAUAAACACUGGUUACAUAUCAUCCAUAACAGAAACAAAUUAAUAUAAGAGGAGGUUUAUUUUCUUAUUCAAAAAUACUUUCUAAGUCAGUUGUAAAUAACAAAUUAUACUAGGCUACAUCUUUCUUCUGAACAUCAUAUCUUUUUCACUCAAGUAGUCCGUAUCACAUUUCCUGUUCACUUUUAGUGUGUAAAGCCACAAUUCUGAAGAGACUCUCUCACACGUUUGCAUGUAUGUAGUCCCACUGAGGUCAAUACAAUUACUCUAGUGUGUACAGAAUCGGGGCCUAAACUUGUGAGCACUUUAUGUCCUACCUAAAAUACUAAUUUAUGUAAUUACAUUCUGCCUUCUUAAAUCACCUGGAUACCAUAAUGACUAGCUCUCAUUACAUGCAACAGAUAGAUCCUCUACAGUUUCAGCUGUAGUAAUCUUCUUUACUUCCUGACCUGAGCUGUUAGUGGUGUGUGCUAUCAAACAGCUGUCAAGUUUCACCUCGGGGAUGGUCACAGACCUGCACGGUAUCCUGAACGUGUCAGAUGGAAGAAAACCUGCUUGGUCCUCUCCAUCUCCCUGCCAGGGCAAUAUUAUCGGCAGAUUUGAGACACUUACCACGCUUUGAUUUCUUCUCAGCUGUCUCUCUGCAUCGCUUUGGGCGGGGAUCCAAGGCCUCCAGAAUUCCCCGGCCCUGCGGAAUCAAGGAAACAGCCUGUUAAAUAGAGAUGAACACUCACCUAACCCUAGACUGGCUGCUCAGUUUCCACAGCCCGAUGGGUGAAAGAGACAUGGGGAAACCAGGCGUGUGAUCACAAGUGCAAUUGAUCUGUCGGAAGGAAGGCGCGGUGCGUGCGCUGGGCUGGAGGAAGUGCGGAUACCCGUGUUGUCCUUUGGAACAUCCCCGGGAGCUAAACCCGUGAAGUGGAGGGCAGCAGCAGAUGUGUGCGCUCUCCAUGCUCCGCCGCUACAGCACGGGAUCCGGACGAGGGAGUGGUGCUGCUUUGCCGAUGAUGAUCCUGAAGUAGAUCAGUUCUCCCGCUAGCCCGAGGCUGUGGGGCUUUUAUAGUCCCCGGCUAAUGACUAUUUAGGAGUCCACCCCCUCCCUUUCCUUUGCUAGUCAGAUAAACAAAAAGGCUACGCGUGAAGGCGCAUCAGUGUAAACAAGGAGCGUGGACGCGUGCAAGUCCCAAAUGGCCCAGGGAGAGAUUUGGCAAGUCAGUGUUAAUCACACUUGAACAGACACGGCUGCUGUCAUGAAAAAAAGCCCACGCUUCUGGACUGUGAAAUGGCGAGUGUGGGAAA